AAAAUAGAGUUUAAGUGACUUCACCAGGAUCACACAGCUAGUUCUCCAGCUUUGCAGGAUACAGAAUGAGAAUGCACUUUCAUAGGGGAACAGAAGCAUUGCCAGGAAAAGGAGAUUUCAUCUGCUAAAUUCACCAGAGCCAAGAUCUAUCCUGUGGCUUCCAGAGAGAACACAGUGGAGCAGAGCAAGGAAGAAUAAUGGAACAAGAAUGAGACAUUGUGUUCUUCUACUAACUAGCUGUGUGACCUUGAGUGAUUCACUUCACUUUUCUUGGUCUCAGUCUCCUGCCUAGAGAAUGAACGUUUUGAACAAGAUGAGCUCUGAGGUCUCUUUCAGCUCCAAUUUCUAGGAUUUUUGAUUGAGGCAGCAGGAUAUAAUAAUAAUCAUUUGUACAACUUUUUGAGGUUUACAAAGUGCUCCCCCUGACAACAAGCCCAUGAAUUAAGUCAAACGUGUGUAAUAGAAAGUACACAAAACAUUGAUUAGUCAGUCAGUCAAUAAACAUUUAUCACAUGCUAA